rnacentral:rRNA from 1 species
GACGAACGCUGACGGCGUGCUUAACACAUGCAAGUCGAACGCUGAAGCUCAGCUUUUGUUGGGUGGAUGAGUGGCGAACGGGUGAGUAACACGUGAGUAACCUGCCUCCUUCUUUGGGAUAACGCCCGGAAACGGGUGCUAAUACUGGAUAUUCACUGGUCUUCGCAUGGGGGUUGGUGGAAAGGGUUUUUCUGGUGGGGGAUGGGCUCGCGGCCUAUCUGCUUGGUGGUGGGGUGAUGGCCUACCAAGGCUUUGACGGGGAGCCGGCCUGAGAGGGGGACCGGUCACAUGGGGACUGAGAUACGGCCCAGACUCCUGCGGGGGGCAGCAGUGGGGAAUAUUGCACAAUGGGCGGAAGCCUGAUGCAGCGACGCCGCGUGAGGGAUGGAGGCCGUCGGGUUGUGAACCUCUUUCGCUCAUGGUCAAGCCGCAACAAUGGUUGUGGUGAGGGUAGUGGGUAAAGAAGCGCCGGCUAACUACGUG